rnacentral:rRNA from 1 species
AGCGAACAUUGGCGGUAGGCUUAACACAUGCAAGUCGAGCGAGGCGUAAUAGUCGAGCGGCGAACGGGUGAGUAAUACAUGGAAAUCUACCCUGAAGUGGGGGAUAACGUCCAGAAAUGGACGCUAAUACCGCAUAAUUCAUAUUGGGAAAGCGUUGCAGCGCUUUAGGAUGAGUCCAUGGCUGAUUAGCUAGUUGGUGAGGUAAAGGCUCACCAAGGCGACGAUCAGUAGCUGGUCGGAGAGGAUGACCAACCACACUGGAACUGAUGACACGGGCCAGACUCCUACGGGAGGCAGCAGUGGGGAAUCUUGCGCAAUGGGGGCAACCCUGACGCAGCCAUACCGCGUGAGUGAUGAAGGUCUUCGGAUUGUAAAGCUCUUUCGGCGGGGACGACGAUGACGGUACCCGCAAAAGAAGUCACGGCUAACUUCGUGCCAGCAGCCGCGGUAA